CAGAUGUAAAACACCGAUUCUCUUACGUUCACCGAAGUUAAACAACGUCGAGCCUGGCCAGUACUUAGAUGGGUGUCCGCGUGAAAAUACCAGGUGCUGUAA